UACGUAGGGUGCGAGCGUUAAUCGGAAUUACGUGGGCGUAAAGCGUGCGCAGGCGGUUUUGUAAGCCAGAUGUGAAAUCCCCGGGCUUAACCUGGGAAUGGCAUUUGGGACUGCAAGGCUCGAGUGCGGCAGAGGAGACUGGAAUUCCUGGUGUAGCAGUGAAAUGCGUAGAUAUCAGGAGGAACACCGAUGGCGAAGGCAGGUCUCUGGGCUGACACUGACGCUCAUGCACGAAAGCGUGGGGAGCAAACAGG
rnacentral:rRNA from 1 species